rnacentral:rRNA from 1 species
AACGAACGCUGGCGGCAGGCCUAACACAUGCAAGUCGAACGCUCCAGCAAUGGAGAGUGGCAGACGGGUGAGUAACGCGUGGGAACCUACCCUUGGGUUCGGAAUAGCUCAGGGAAACUUGAGGUAAUACCGGAUAAGACCCUCGGGGGAAAGAUUUAUCGCCGAAGGAGGGGCCCGCGUCGGAUUAGCAAUUUGGGUGGGUAACGGCCUACAAAGGCGACGAUCCGUAGCUAGUUUGGGAGGAUGAUCAGCCACACUGGGACUGAGACACGGCCCAGACUCCUACGGGAGGCAGCAGUGGGGAAUAUUGGACAAUGGGCGCAAGCCUGAUCCAGCCAUGCCGCGUGAGUGACGAAGGUCUUCGGAUUGUAAAGCUCUUUUGGCGGGGACGAUAAUGACGGUACCCGCAGAAUAAGCCCCGGCUAACUUCGUGCCAGCCGCCGCGGUAAAAC